rnacentral:misc_RNA from 1 species
CGAAAAAUCAAUAGUUUAACAAAAAUUAAACAAAUCACACUAAAUUCAACAAAGUUUACAUAAAUGGAUGCAUAUUACAAUGAUGGAUACAUAUAACAUAUGAAUAAACUACAUCCACCUGCAAAUUACAAUAUAAAAACUGAAAUUUUGCUAACUUUGCAAGUUCAUAUCUUAAUCAUGGCAUUGUUAGCUGUACAAAAAGCAACUGUAAGAGUAA